UUGUAGCCUCGUUAACAGGAGAUGUCCUCCUUACUACCA
rnacentral:tRNA from 1 species